UGUAUGAAUAAAUACAAUAUGUACAUACAUACAAUGGAGUAUCAUUCCACAAAAAAAAGAAAGGAAAUACUGAUUCAUGCAAUGACAGGGAUCAACCUUGAAACAUUAAGCUGUGCAAGAAGGCAGACCUAAAGGCCACACAUUGUAUGAAUCCAUUUAUACAAAAUGUCUAGAAAAGCCAAAUCUACAGGGAUAUCUACUGUAAAUUAGUGGUUGCCUAGGGCUGGGGACUUGGGGGGAAAUGAGGACUGCUAAUGGGCACAUGGUUUCUUUUUGGGAAUGAUUAAAAUGUUCUAAAUUCACUAUGGUAAUUGAUGACUGCACGACUCUGUGGAUAUACUAAAAACAACUGAAUUUUAUACUUCAAAUGGAUGAGUUAUAUAUCAAUUAGAUCUCAAUAAUGCUGUUAAAAAAGAAAAAAAAUCUUUCUACAACAUAGAAAGUAAUAGUGCAUUAGGGAAAUUCUAAUUUUAAACUUCUAAUGUCUAUAAUCAUGAAUAAAUUAUAUAGAAUAUGCAGAAAAAAUAAAAUAAAUGGCAAGUCUUAGGAUAUCACCAAUAACAUUUUACAUUUCUAACAAAACUGGAACUGAACAAGCACGAUUUUUUUAAAUGUCACUCCAUCUGGAGAACACCAAGGAUAACAACAAAAAUAAAUUUGCUAUUGACCUAUUUGUAAGAGGACCAAGUAUUAUCAACAAUAAGUGCUUAUACUGUACAUUUUGUUAAGUAUGUAUAAUUCCUUUAAUAUAUCAUCUAAAACAAUUGAAAUGAAAUCAUUUUAAACAUAUUUUCCUAAUUUCUUCAAAUAUAACAAGUUACAAAUUUUGAAAAGCCGAGUGGACAUAACAUGAAUUUGAGGAUGGGAGAAAGAGAAGCUGGAUUAAGAAAAGCAAGUCUACUCCUUCUUCCAUGUAACUACCGUUCAAAUAUUUAUAGUCAUAUGGCAAACAAAAAAAGGUAACACAGCACUGCCAAUCAUAUAUGUCCCUUAUGGUUUUAACUUGCAGAUUAUAUUUUGGGAUUUUGUUCUUGAGAAGAUUCAACUAUUAAGAACAAAAUGAAGUGGACACAAGAAAGAAUAUCAUAGUAGUACCCUUCAUUACUACAAACUGUAGCACACUCAUAGAAAUAAAUAUUGGUAAGGCAAAAAAAAAAUUAAACAGGGUAGUUCUGUGAUCCUCCAUGGCUUUAUUUUCAAAUAUUCUAAUAAUUCUCUUCCCCCUUGUAAGCAGAGCCUAUAGAGUCUUAUGAGAUUGUUGCUAUGAUGUUUGAAGUUGUUCAUUACAGUCUAAAACACAGUGGAUUCUGGGAUGCACAGAAGCUAAUUAGAAGGAAAUGCACCUGCGGAGGGCCCACUUCGGCCGUUUCUCUGGCCAGGUUUCCCUCGGUGUGCGACUGUGCGCUCAGCCCAGCACCAUGGGGAAGUGGGACAAAUGGGUGGCCUAUAUGCAUCCAACAGCAAUGGCAAGAUCAAGGGGUUCAAUCCAGUCUUCAGAGCCAACAAUACAGGAUUAUCUGAAUCGACCAAGGCCUACCUGGAAAGAAGUAAAAGAGCAACCAGAAAAGAAAAAGAAAGGCUCCAGGGCUUUGGCUGAAUACAAUGAAUGAGAACUGGAAGAAAGAACUAGAAAAACACAGGGGGAAAUUGUUAAGUGGAAGUGAGAGCUCAUCCAAAAAACGACAGAGAAAGAAAAAAGAAGAAAUCUGGUAGGUAUUCAUCUUCUUCUUCAUCAAGCUCUGAUUCUUCCAGCAGUUCUUCAGAUUCUGAAGAUAAGGAUAAGAGAUAAGGAAAACAGAGAAAGAGAAAGAAGAACCGUUCACAUAAAUCUUCUGAAAGGUCCAAAUCAGAAACUGAAUCAGACAGUAAGGAUAGUUUUAAAAAGAAAAAGAAGUCAAAAGAUGCCACUGAGAAAGAAAAGGACCUUAAAGGACUCAGAAAAAAGAGAAAGAUAUACUCAGAAGAUAAACCUUUAUCAUCGGAGUCCUUGUCAGAAUCAGAGUAUAUUGAGGAGGUACGAGCAAAAAAGAUGAAAAGCAGUGAAGAACAAGAAAAAGCAACAGAAAAAAAAAAAAAGAAAGAAAGAAAAAGAAGCAUAAGAAAUACAGUAAGAAGAAGAAAAAGAAGACUGCUAGUUCAAGUCCUGACUCACCAUAACAUUAAGAAAAAUCAGGAUUCCCUUAUAAAGAAAGCACAAUGUCUGAGGAAAUUGCAACUGUGAAAACUACAACAUAUUUACUAAAAUGCAUGAAUUUUCUUGUUUUUAGAAUUAUUCCUGGACUAUUCAGUAGCCACUCAGAUGCCACUGUGUGAAAGGGCCAUAAAUGUUGCCUGCUGCUUGAACAUCUAUUUUUUUCUCUUCUAGCGCUUGAUAACUCUGGGAGAUAAUACACUGCAGUCGUACUAGUGGUUAAGAUAUUUGGGAAUAAAAUCAAUACUUUUGACUAGAAGUGUCUAAGGAUAAACCAACCGAAAUUGAAUCUGGAUACAUCUUUAAGAUGUGAUCAGAAAUGACCAGAUGACUCUAGUUAAAAUUUUUGAAGGAGGGAUUACAUUAAUAUUUCAAAACCCUUAUUCUGUAAAUAAGUGUAUUUUAAUUUUUUCCCCUUAUAUACUUUUAUUUACCUGGGGAAGGAGGUUGGAGGGGGUGGUUUGCUAUCUCUUUAGCUAGCAGAAUAGUGUGCCUUUGAUCCUCACACAUCUGUAUUGUGGACACAGCAGCCAUGCUUCACGGGGAGGUCAAAGCUGGCUACCAGCAGUCUUGCCCUUUACUGAGCUUAGUGUCAUCCUUGGAUGCUGCCAUAUGCUGCUUUGAGUGAACUAGAGAAACAGCCAUUUGCAGCAUGAGAAAGUCCCAAAGCUCGGGGAUUUACCUCCACUUCAAUAAUCAUGAAUAUUUUUUAGCAUUAGAAUGUGUUAUGCCAUUUGAAAUAAUUUUGAUUACAUUUUGGCUUGGGAAAGGAAUUAUUUUAAAUAGACACUGGUACUUUUUGAACUUGAUAGCUAAGGAUUCUAAAAUGCAUAUUUUAUACUAAGUUUUAACCAGUCAGGAAAAUUUUAUGUAACCAGUGAUAGUUUACUUUUUGUAUGAAUUUUGUUUAGGCUGCAAUGUUUAGCUUUUGUUAACUCCUCACUCUUGCUGUCUUAAGUUCAUUACUAUGUUUAACAACCUACUUGCCAAGAUAUUUAGCAUGUAAAAUGCAGGGUUUUGAUUUAAAAAAAAAAAAAAACAGCUUCAUAUUGAAGCUGAGACUUACCAUAAACAAGUUGAGUGACAAAAAAAAAAAAAAAAGAAAAGAAAGAAAUACAAAUAUCUGCCAUCCAAAUGAAUACCUAAGUAGACAGCAAUAAAUGGCCACUUGUGGGAUUAAUUUGGGCUAGUAACAGUAUUCCUAGAAACACAGGAUAAGUCCUCACACUUACUUAGGAACUGUGUCUGACAAGUAAACUGAAUGUACGCCGGUAAAACAUGGCGAUUUGCGACCUAUGUUUAGGGGCUUCUGGUGGAGCCAGAAUUAGUCUGAACAGAAGGCACUUCAGACUUUCCAAACCCUGUUUCAACGAGAACAUCUCUGUUCUUCUAGUUUUUGUUUUAGUUUGGCUUGGUUGGAGUUUUAUCAAAAAUGUUAUUUGAAAAGAAUCUUUUUUUGGAAAAAUUGAUCUAGUCCAAUACACAGUGAAUAGUUCAGUGAAAUCUUAACUUUACCUCCGCCCGUCCUAUAUGUGACUUUCAUCUCAAUACCAGAAGCCCUGCUAAGUGGAAUCCAUAAUCAUAACAUGGCCAUGGAGGAACAGCAUAGGAUCUUCACAAAAACGUGCUAAAGAAAAGUAUGUCCCUUUGUUUCUUUCCUUUCAGUUUUUGUUUUUAAGACUUUAGCCACAAAUUAUCAAAUUAGUCAACAAAUAUGCAGCUCAUGCUUGGAGUAAAAGGGAUUUAUCUUCUUAAAUCCUACAUAUGUAGGAUUUAACAAUAAGCAGAGUGGAGCUGGCAGUUGCUCCAGAAAAACUCAUCCAUUUUUGGGAGUUUUGGGGAGCAGUCAUGGAAGCCAUGGAAGCUUCUGAUUGUGGUUCUGCCCCUCCUUUAUCUUGAGCUCUCCAAGGUUCUGAUCUGCUUCUCAACCAACAAGCAACUUUGCUGUUAGCCAUGUGUACGCACACGUAUGUGUGUAUGUGUGUGUGUGUGUGUGUGUGUCUGUCUGUCCUUCUAAAACAGCUAUAUAUAUAUAUAUAUAUUUUUUUUUUUUUUUGACUUGCAGGAUAAAAUCAAUCAGACCAUUCCCUGGCUUACAAUCAAUACAAUCUUCUAGCUACUUGUGGUAAUGUGAUCCUGAUUCUCAUGUCAAUACAGAACAUGACAGUUAUAUAUUCUUGAGGACGACAUAUGUCUUGGGCAAAAUGCACAAAUACCUUUGUAGCUGAAAAACCACUUUCCCACAAAAGUUUGUGAUAGGACUGGUAAGACUCAUAAUGGAGAAAAAGCAAAAUAGGAAAUUGUAAGUCUGAACUUUUCAAAACGCCAUUCAGUAGGCAGCCUCACUCAGUUGCUAGGUAAGCCAGACUUCCAAUUAACAGGAAUUCUAGGGCAUGUUCAAAUAUCUAUCAAGAGAUGAUCUACUGGUGGAAUCUUACAAAAAUUUAUCAUCUCAAUUUUGUGCCAGGGUGUCAGAAUCUUUCGAGGUGGCAUACUUCACAUGUCUAGCUUCCUCCAUAGGCAAGUAGGCUUUAAACCUAAAACAUGUAAAAGUAUCCCAAAAUGAUACCUAUGGCUCCAUUGAUAAAAUUCAAAAGCCUGUAAUGUCCCUUCUUGCCCAUCAGAAAUCGCUAUAUAGAUUACCUUUCAGUUCCUCUUAAAAGAAAGUGACCAGUAUGCAGCCCCACUCCAUCUUGAAUUUCCACUUCAAAUGAGUCUCUAGGAUCACCCAGCUUAUUUCCAACUUGUGUUUCUUUCUUAAGAAUUGGGGAUGGAUAAAUGGGAGGAAACAAAGGUGGGAGAGAAGUGGAGAGGAAAGAAAUUUUAAACCACAUCUCUUGAUCCAAUCUUCUUCAUUUAUUAAGAGAAAGAAAGUAGGCAGAUUCCUUUCUGUCUUGGAAACUCCCUCAAAUGGGACAGGAAUGAAAAGAAUACCCAAAGGAAAAGAAUCUUAAUUAGCCAUUCUUCUAACUGUAAAUACUUAGAGAAUAAAAAUAAUGUAUUUUCCAAAACACAUAUUAGAGAACUAAGGCCAAGAACUAAGGCCAAUAAAAUUAUUGAAUAUAAGCACCGUGAAGAGUACUAGAAUAACUAAUAACUAAAUCUACUCUCUUUCUUCCACAGGUUUUGUCUUUAUCCUCCCAAUUGUAAGGUAAUAUCUUUUAAAUACAAAAUCAAAUCUAUUUGGGGCCAAAAUGCUCAAGUUUUAAACCAGUGGUUUCUCAAAAAUAUAUGAAUUAAUAUUAUUAGGACAAAAUGUCAAUGUAGGCUAAAAUUUGAUUUAUGAAUCCUAAACAUUAAAACUAUUUUUGUGGCCCUAGGUUGGCUGUGGCUCUGAAAUGAAUGUCACCAUUUACCUUAGCUAUUGAUGCCACACACCUUCUCAAUUAAUGCUACUCAGAGCCAGAGAAUGAAAGGCAAUGGCAGAAAGGGAAUUAGCAAAUAUGAUUUCUAACUUAAUUCAAAUUGUUUUUCCUGGGGAUGUAUUUAAAUUUUCCAGGUUGCUCGAAUAUCAUCCAGGGAUGUGAUUUUGAAGGAGACAGCUUGUUACUGUUUUUCCUGGCUGUACUACAAGAAACAACAGUGUGAGCUUAUUUUAAGUUAAUGUGUGCUUCUGUGUUUCUUUACAAGAAAUUAACUGCAAUCAUUUAGUUAAAGCAAACACUUUGUUAGUGUUACACUUUUCAUCAGAAAAUGUCUUCAGGAAUCUUUCAAACUUAGAAAGUUAAGAAUCCAAAUUCCGUCCAAAGAUUUUAAACUUGGAGCAAAUUAUUUAAAUCACAAUGAAAGAUCUUUUAAGCUUAGUGACCCUCUGCUGGCACUGAAUAUUUUAUAGCCAUAGGGGACUCCUUUCCAUUCUCCCAAAUCAAGAUAGUAACUUUUUUCCUGUCUCAGACGGCACCAGACCCCACAGUAGAUUCUUCUUUCCUUCUGACUAUGAUAAUCACAAAGAAACCCACAGGAAUGGGCGGUAUGGAACAAGAAGAGCAAACAGCUUCAACCAAGUUGUUAUUUACAACUGGAGAAACAUCUGCAGGCUCUGGCACCUGGUUGCGGACCUCUGCCCUAGAUGACUCCCCUAGCGAGACUAGGCCCCUGGACUAUAAGGAUUUAUAUUAUGUAACUGUUUCUCCUCACCUUAGCUGAGCUCCCUGGACUUUAGACCUGCAAUAUUUGCCAGACUCUCUUCCUCUUAGUGAAAAUCCCAGUUACAGGCUUUCCUAGCCAGUGGUCUUAAAACCACCAAUGUCCUAGUAACACGACUCAUGUGUAAAUGGGCAGAUAAAACUCCAAAUGAAAAGGAGACUACCCCAGGCUCUUCAGGUUGUAACAGCCACAAGCAGCUAUAAGAGCAAGAAAGAAAAAGCAAAGCAAAAUAGACACUCAACUGAAGGAAAGCAUAUCCACAAAGCACAGCACAUGGGAUAUUAAAGAGCUUUCAAUGUCUUUACUCUUCCCCCUAAAAGCUCUAUCUCUUAUCCCCAGAUCCAUAUAAUAUCCUUAGCCUAAACCUACAUUUAGUAAACAUCCAUUGUUUCAUGUCCAACAUCCAUUCCCCUCUUGCUGAUAACAUCAACCCAAAUUUUGUUGGGGAGACUUCCCUUCCCCAUUCUCAGGCAUGAGUUUUGAGUGAGAACCUCCAGUUCUCUAUAAGCUCUAUAGGUCCUCACUAUCUAACCCCAUCAACAUUGCCUAUGCACUUAGUUCAAUGUUUGCUUCAGCCAUUGGACACAUAACCAAUCAAAUCCAAUGAGAUAAAUAAAGACAUCAGCUGGGACUGCUGAGAAAUAAAGGCUUACUUUCUUCCUAUAAUAGGAUAAUAUAAAGUCUGAAUUGGAGUAACAAUUUUUUACUUAUAAGGGAAAAGACUUGUGAACUUGCACAGAUACGGAGACUAAAAGUUAACACAAUGGGAGGCAGAGCAGAGAAGAGAAGAAAUGGGAAGAUACCAGGUCCUUAAAUGACAUUAUUUCAGCCACUGGACCAAGCUUUGUCUGAUGCUCAAUUCUGGACUGUUGAGUUCUCUAAGCCAAUUAAUUCUCUUUAUAGUUAAAGCCAGUUUGAAUCAGGUUUCUGUCACUUUAAAAAAAUGGAAAAAAAGAAAAGUAAGAAAAUAAAAGAGUGCUGACACACCACAAUACCAUUAUCACCAUUUUACCUCUUUAAGGGAAAGAUCAGAGGAAGAGGCACAUGAGCUCUUACCAGGCUAUUCAAGAGCACUUCAACCAAAAGUAUGGAUUUGGUGUGGGUUUUCUGCCAGAAACAAAAGUUGAGUAGCUUCCUACAUUUAUCUGCAGAAAAAUCUACAUAGAGAAUUAAUCUAUUUUUACUAACCCAACAAUGAUUAUAAUGAUUUUUCUUAAGGAAAAAAUAAAUAAUAAGGAAAUGAGGAAAAACAGAAACUAUAUUUUUGUAUAUUACAACUCACUCAAUAAAUUCAAGUUAAAAUGGAUCUGAAACAGGUAUCUGAGAUGUUCCCCAUCCUACAGCUUUUCAAACACCAAUAGGGUAUUUGAUUCAGUGGGUAAUCAAGUGAAACUUAUAAAAAAAGCCAACAGUCCCAUUAAAGGAUGUAAAGGAGAAAAAUGAACAACUGUUCCAGACUAAAUAAGGACCCUUUGAUUACUGACAUGUGUCUUUGAUUACUGACAUGCACACAAUGAGCAGUACCCCAGCCCUUCUUUAGCACUGAGCUUAGACAGGAGGCCUUCGCUGGCUUCACGGUCCCUUAAACAGGAGAUAUUUUUACCUUUCCUCCACUUGACUGGAAAUAUUCAGCAUGUACAAGCUGUCCUGUGGUAUCAUAUGAAUGCUGGCUCCAUGCCACACUGGAAAUGUGUGCCUCUGUACAAAACCUUUACAUCUUUUGUACACAUCCUCUCUCCAGGAGACUUAAAAUGGGUCCCCAGAAGGCAGCCAUGGUGACUGCCUUCAAACCAUUUAUCAACUUAGGAAUACACAACGAUUAUUGUUUCAUCAACUGUCACUUCCUUAAACUACUGCCAUCCGUCUCUAGCCCCUAAACCCAUUCCUCACCAGUUCUUUCAAAAUUGUGGUGCUUCUCAAAGUCAACUAAAUAAAAGCAUCUGUUUCAAAUGGUACCAUACAAACAGCCUUCCCUGGGUCUCAGGAUAAAUAAUCAUGAAGACAUACUCUCUCCAACGAAGUGCUUCACAAACCUUAACAAAACCGUAACAUCCCAAGCUGCCAAUUUCUACUGCCAUCAACUAACUCAUCAUCGAACAGACUAGGUUUCUUUUUAUUAAUAAAGAGUAUUUUACUUUUUAAAAAAUCCCUUGAUAGAAGGCUGUCAAUAUGCAAUCUUCAUUAACCAGGGAAGCCUGAUUUUUCCCUACAAGUAUAUGAACCUUUCCUACCUACUACCCUAGCUUCCACACUGGCUAUCAUCAGAAUAACUGUGGAAGCAUCCUAAAAAGACAGAGUAUCAGAUAUAACCCUCUGAUACACUGAUCAAGUACACCUGGGGUGAGAUCUGCUCCUUGGUCCUACAUAAUCUUUUCACGAUUUUGGAGUCAGGUUCAGGCAUUCAGAUAGCAGACAAAACCCAGAACACUUAAUUAUUUUUCCAGUGAAUUUUCUCAUUGUGAUUAAAGGCCCAAAUAAUUUCAUAUAAACUCGCUAGACCUUCACAUAAUCCAUUGACUAAAUGAUGGUUAAAAGCUCCACUCACUAGAGCUUUCUACUAGUUGCCCCAUAUGUAUUCCCAGGAAGUUACAGAUUGUGUCUCCAGACCUCUGGUCUAUUUCUAACAAUGAUUACCCCUGGAAUCCAGAGCUGCCCAUAUGCAGGGGGGAAAAACAUCUUCAACCAUGGAGAGCCAACAUCACUCUUGCUCAUUUCUGCUUCUCCUAUAGUACUGAAUUUUACUAAAUUUGAUCCUUUCAUCUGCCUAGAUCUGUAAUAUCAUCCAGGCUCCCCCUGAGAUCCCAUCGCCCCUGAUUUAAUGUCAUUUGUGCCCUAGGGGGAAAAGUGCCAAAUAGUUUACUCAAUGGUGUGAUCAUUCUCAAAUUGGACAUAUUUAUUUGUGUUUAAUUUUAAAUCAUCAUCUUUUCUCUCAAAUGUUUUUGUGAUGGUUUCAUUAAGAUUAAGGAAUUAUGGAGCAUUUGUAAAUUGACCGCCUCAGCCUGCAGACAUGCUUUCUUUGACCCACACAAAUUUUUAUUUGAAAAUCUUUAAACAAAGCAUACACACUUCAGCAGGUCACAAUCCUCACCAAUUCCAACUGUUUUAUACCUACUUUUUCAUUCAUUUGUGUUACCUGGGUACACUUGACUGGCUCCUGCAGACAUUUGAGUUCGUAGCCCCUGCUACAAAUAAGAUUAUUGAGAUUUUGGGGCAUCUCCUAAAAAGACUGUUUAUUUCCUCUCAUGGUCUCUUCAUUUAUGGUAGAUGUAUCAGGUGUUUAUUGGUGUCAUGUAAGCAAAAGAAUAGCUGAAGUUUCUCAGUCAUUGAAAAUUAAAGAUAAAAAGAAACCUCUCCUAUUCAUUGCACCCACUAAUGUUCAUAAGAAAUCGCUGAAUGUCUAGGUAAUAUAGUUACUUCAUAUCACUCGCCUUCUAUGAGAUUAUAAAGUAUGGGAGAACAGGAACAGUAUCUUACUCAUCUCUAUGCAAAUACUGUGUUAGACAUUAUGGGUUAUUCAAAGUGGGCACUCAAACUAUUUUUCAAGUGAAUGAUCACCACUAUUCAACUCAUUAUAAACAAAAUUAGGUAUAUUAAAGAUCCAAAACAUUUUCCAGGGUCAAUAAAGAUACUGGCUACUGGGAGCCAAGUUAAUCUGUGGUUAUUAGCAGAAGUAGACAAAAGAAAAUUGGAGAGCAAUUCUGAAAAUACAAUAUGCAAUAUGACUAAUUACAGUCAUCAAUCACAAAGUUUGAACAAUCUGAAAAAUAGUAUCUUAAAAGCAUUCUAAGACAUGAUUUCUUUCCAAAGGCUAUCACACUUAAAAUAAGAAUGUACAAGCCUGUAAUCCCAGCACUUUGGG